AUGAUUUUCAAUGAUCUGAUCUUGUCUUAUAGACAGCACAUCUGGAACUCCCAAUUAGAGUCCUGUCAUAUAAUGCUUUGUUACCCCUUACUUUUAAUUUGCUUCCUCCAUACUUGUAACAAUAUGAUGCAAACAUUAUUUUUCUUUCUCAAGCCUCCAUUUAAAUCAGAGCCUAGUACUUGGAGAGAGCUAAUCCCAGAAGGCAGAUUGAUGUUGACACUUGGUGUUUUGUUCUGCUCUCCAGCAACUCUGAAGAAAGAGAAACAGUUUGAAUUUGCUGAAACCUUUCUGCAGCCCUUGAAUUGUGGAGCAAUUACCCUGACAGUUGUUUGCGUAGGAACAAGCACGGUGACAGCACAGCAAGCCUGUGAAACAAGCCCAGCACAGGACUCAGGGUGUUCUGCCAAAGGUCAUAGCCCGAGCGUUCAGAAAUGUCAAGUAGGACAUGGCAGUCCCUUGAUUCCAAGCAGCUCCAUGCUUGGUCCACACCCUUCUCAGGGGUCCCGCUGCCUGAUGAAGUGA
rnacentral:lncRNA from 1 species